rnacentral:rRNA from 1 species
AGCGAACGCUGGCGGCAGGCCUAACACAUGCAAGUCGAACGGGCUCUUCGGAGCUAGUGGCGGACGGGUGAGUAACACGUGGGAACGUGCCUUUAGGUUCGGAAUAAGCCCGGGAAACUGGGUCUAAUACCGAAUGUGCCCUUCGGGGGAAAGAUUUAUCGCCUUUAGAGCGGCCCGCGUCUGAUUAGCUAGUUGGUGGGGUAAUGGCCCACCAAGGCUACGAUCAGUAGCUGGUCUGAGAGGAUGACCAGCCACAUUGGGACUGAGACACGGCCCAAACUCCUACGGGAGGCAGCAGUGGGGAAUCUUGCGCAACGGGCGAAAGCCUGACGCAGCCAUGCCGCGUGGAUGAUGAAGGUCUUAGGAUUGUAAAAUCCUUUCACCGGUGAAGAUAAUGACUGUAGCCGGAGAAGAAGCCCCGGCUAACUUCGUGCCAGCCGCCGCAGUAACAC